UUUUGAUGUCGCAGAAUUUGACAGGCAUUAUCCCCCCAGAGUUCUCUCAGCUCCGUUAUCUCAAAACUCUGAUCCUUCGUCGUAACUGUCUUGUUGGUUCAAUACCAAAGGAAUGGGGAUCAAUGCAUUUGGAAGUGUUAUCUUUUUUGGGGAACCGACUAACGGGUCCAUUUCCGAAAGUGUUAACCAGCAUUACAUCAC